AAAUUGAAGAGUUUGAUCAUGGCUCAGAUUGAACGCUGGCGGCAGGCCUAACACAUGCAAGUCGAACGGUAGCACAGAGAGCUUGCUCUCGGGUGACGAGUGGCGGACGGGUGAGUAAUGUCUGGGAAACUGCCCGAUGGAGGGGGAUAACUACUGGAAACGGUAGCUAAUACCGCAUAACGUCGCAAGACCAAAGUGGGGGACCUUCGGGCCUCACACCAUCGGAUGUGCCCAGAUGGGAUUAGCUAGUAGGUGGGGUAACGGCUCACCUAGGCGACGAUCCCUAGCUGGUCUGAGAGGAUGACCAGCCACACUGGAACUGAGACACGGUCCAGACUCCUACGGGAGGCAGCAGUGGGGAAUAUUGCACAAUGGGCGCAAGCCUGAUGCAGCCAUGCCGCGUGUAUGAAGAAGGCCUUCGGGUUGUAAAGUACUUUCAGCGAGGAGGAAGGCGUUGUGGUUAAUAACCACAGCGAUUGACGUUACUCGCAGAAGAAGCACCGGCUAACUCCGUGCCAGCAGCCGCGGUAAUACGGAGGGUGCAAGCGUUAAUCGGAAUUACUGGGCGUAAAGCGCACGCAGGCGGUUUGUUAAGUCAGAUGUGAAAUCCCCGGGCUCAACCUGGGAACUGCAUUUGAAACUGGCAAGCUUGAGUCUCGUAGAGGGGGGUAGAAUUCCAGGUGUAGCGGUGAAAUGCG
rnacentral:rRNA from 1 species